AGAAAAGUUUGAAGUAUCUAUGGGAAUGAUCUGACGACAUCGAACUUGCUGAGCCUUCCUUCUUAAAGUGACAUGACCAGAUAUUUGGCUACCCAGUUUGAGAUACGAACUAAUCAUUUGCUGUAUGACUUAUUGUGUAUGAGAUUGCCACCAUUUACUGGAACUUUGAAUUUCCUGUCCACUUUAAACCCCUGCUAUCUACAAUUAUCUUUCUGCUAAAUGAAAUAAAAUACUGUGGAGGAACACGGAGAAAAGGGCACCUCAACAUGUUCAAGGUCAAGCAGCUUUUUACCAUAUCCAUAGUAUCUUGCUGCUAAAUGAAAGAAUUAUUGUGGAGGAACAGAGAAAAGGGCACCUCAACAUGUUCAAGGUCAAGCAGAAAUUAGGAGCUACGUGUGCUUCUCCAGAGCUGAAAAUUUCUUGGAAUGAAGAGAAGAAAAAGCAAGAAGAAGCAGUUUUAAAUAUUGAUUACAUCUUCAUAGUACAAAAAAUGAUUCGAAAGAUGAUACUAUCUAUGAAAUUAGAAAGCUGAAGUGGCGUUCUGAUGAAUGUGAAAAAAUCCUUAAAGAACAGGACACCAAAAGUGCCACUCUCAAAUCAAAACACUCUGAAAGGCAGAGCAUAAGAAGAACUAGGA